AAAAAGUCAAUGAUGUUUUUUCAAGACGGGACCGACUGGUGAAUGAUGCAUAAAUGAAAUGCUGAGACUUUUU
ensembl:snoRNA Y71D11A.7 ncRNA